rnacentral:rRNA from 1 species
UGGGGAAUUUUGGACAAUGGGGGCAACCCUGAUCCAGCCAUGUCGCGUGAGUGAAGAAGGCCUUCGGGUUGUAAAGCUCUUUCGGCGGGGACGAAACGGUCCGUGACGACACCACGGACUAAUGACAGUACUCGCAGAAGAAGCACCGGCUAACUACGUGCCAGCAGCCGCGGUAAUACGUAGGGUGCAGGCGUUAAUCGGAAUUACUGGGCGUAAAGCGUGCGCAGGCGGCUCCUUAAGUCAGAUGUGAAAUCCCCGGGCUUAACCUGGGAACUGCGUUUGAAACUGGGGGGCUAGAGUGUGGAAGAGGGGGGUGGAAUUCCAGGUGUAGCAGUGAAAUGCGUAGAGAUCUGGAGGAACACCGAUGGCGAAGGCAGCCCCCUGGGCUAACACUGACGCUCAUGCACGAAAGCGUGGGGAGCAAACAGGAUUAGAUACCCACGUAGUCCCUGAGCGGGCUGGCAAGGCGCAU